rnacentral:lncRNA from 1 species
GGGUAAGCGAGCGUCGGCGACUGUCUCUCCGCGAGAGGAGGCAAGUUGGGGUCCAGGCUCCAAAGCCGGUGGCCGCGUACCGCGGUGGAGCCGCUGUCUUUGAGGUCUGAGGAGAGAACAGACGGAGUCUAGCUCUUUCACCCAGGCUGGAGUGAAGUGGCGCAAUCUCAGCUCAGUGCAACCUCCGCCCCCUGGGUUCAAGUGAUUCUCCUGCCUCAGCCUCCCCAGUAGCUGGGA